AGAGUUUGAUCCUGGCUCAGGACGAACGCUAGCGGCGGGCCUAACACAUGCAAGUCGAGCGUGAAAGCAUUCUUCGGAGUGUGAUUAAAGCGGCGAACGGGUGAGUAACACGUAGGUAAUCUGCCUAGUGGUGGGGAAUAACUCAUCGAAAGAUGAGCUAAUACCGCAUAAUGCUUCGAAAUCGCCUGAUUUUGAAGUCAAAGCCUUCGGGCGCCAUUAGAUGAGCCUGCGUCCCAUUAGCUUGUUGGUAAGGUAAAAGCUUACCAAGGCUACGAUGGGUAGCUGGUCUGAGAGGAUGAUCAGCCACACUGGGACUGAGAUACGGCCCAGACUCCUACGGGAGGCAGCAGUGAGGAAUAUUGCGCAAUGGACGAAAGUCUGACGCAGCCACGCCGUGUGUGGGAUGAAGCCCUUGCGGGUGUAAACCACUUUUAGGAGGGACGAGUUCUCUGGUUUUGCCAGGGAUCGACGGUACCUCCAGAAUAAGCUCCGGCUAACUCCGUGCCAGCAGCCGCGGUAAUACGGGGGGAGCAAGCGUUGUCCGGAAUCACUGGGCGUAAAGCGCGUGUAGGCGGGAUUGUAAGUCAGAGGUGAAAUGUUGGAGCUUAACUCCGAACCUGCCUUUGAAACUGCAGUUCUUGAAUUCGGUAGAGGGAAGUGGAAUUCCAGGUGUAGCGGUGGAAUGCGUAGAUAUCUGGAAGAACACCGGUGGCGAAGGCGACUUCCUGGCCCGAAAUUGACGCUGAGACGCGAAAGCGUGGGUAGCAAACAGGAUUAGAUACCCUGGUAGUCCACGCCCUAAACGAUGAUCACUAGAUGCUGGGGGAUUCGACCCCUUCAGUGUCGUAGCUAACGCGUUAAGUGAUCCGCCUGGGGAGUACGAUCGCAAGGUUGAAACUCAAAGGAAUUGACGGGGGCCCGCACAGGCGGUGGAGCAUGUGGUUUAAUUCGAUGCAACGCGAAGAACCUUACCUGGGCUUGAACUGCAGUGGAAACCUUCUGAAAGGAAGGCCUCCUUCGGGACUGCUGUAGAGGUGCUGCAUGGCUGUCGUCAGCUCGUGUCGUGAGAUGUUGGGUUAAGUCCUUCAACGAGCGCAACCCUUGCCAUUAGUUGCCAUCAGGUUAUGCUGGGCACUCUAAUGGGACUGCCCGCGUUAAGCGGGAGGAAGGUGGGGAUGACGUCAAGUCCUCAUGGCCCUUACGUCCAGGGCUACACACGUGCUACAAUGGAUAGUACAAAAGGGUCGCAAUACUGCAAAGUGGAGCCAAUCCCAUAAAACUAUCCUCAGUUCGGAUUGCAGUCUGCAACUCGACUGCAUGAAGUCGGAAUCGCUAGUAAUCGUGGAUCAGCACGCCACGGUGAAUACGUUCCCGGGCCUUGUACACACCGCCCGUCACACCAUGGGAGUCGGGAGUACCCGAAGCCGUGAAACCCGCGUCUAAGGUAAGCUCGAUGACUGGGGUGAAGUCGGAACAAGGUA
rnacentral:rRNA from 1 species